rnacentral:lncRNA from 1 species
GUAAAACCCUCUCAGUCCCCUGACUGCUGCAGCCCUCCCCACCCCUGUCCACACAGUGUUAGGGACAGGCUAUCUUAGAAAACCCCCUCUGCUCAAGCUAACCUUACAUUUUGGUGCUGAAACCCAGGAUGGGGUAGGCUCUGACUGGGUGCCCUUAAAGGGCGCUCUCUCUCUUUUUCUCUCCGUCUAUCCUUCCCUCCCUCUUCUAUCACUUCUCUCCCAGCCUUCCUCCCCUUCCUGAACCUGCUGAAGACCUGGAGGAUCUCCCAGACUCUCCCAUUGCUGGUGACCUCAUCCACCAUCAGAGACUUGGCCGGGCUCCUCCGCCUAGCCACCGAGGACUGCUGAGGCCCAGGGCGCUGCUGCCUCUGCCAGCACUGCGUGGGAGCACAGUGUGGGAGCACAGCGUAACUCUACUCAUAGCAGGAGCCAACCCUCGGUGUCUUCUUCUGCUUCCGUUCUCUUGUGCCCCUCAGUGGAAGCUCCCAGAUGGACACUCGGACACAGAGGGUCCAGGGAGACCCGUGGAUCUGCCGCUGUGUGGGUGGACCAAGCUCUGGCCUCCAUUGGAAGACUCUGUCCAGUGCCACAUCCUCCCUGGGUUCCAGUCCUCACCUGCCAGGUGGACAAUUAGGCAAUUUGAUUUACUAAGGAGAAGACAAAGCAAAGGAAAGAGAAAAGGAGAAAUACUUCAAGAAAAAAAAAAAGACUUUGUGAAAAAGAAAAAGUGAAAUCAUAGGAAAUAUAGAAAACAAAAAUCCAAAUCAGGAGAGAGAAAUAAAGAAUUCUGGGAUGAUGAGCCGGGCUCGAGGAAGCCUCCACCUCCUGACUCCAGAAGUCUGGGCCAAGUGGACUCCUUACUAUGAAGGGAGGUGUCUCUAUGGAGGCCCGAUGAUGUCUCAAGAACGGGUGGGCAGGCAGAGAAGGGGGCCGGGGCGGAGUGCUAUCACAGGUUAAGCUUUUAGGUACUGGUUACCCAGGAAGUCUCAUUCAUUCUGGAAUAAUUUUGGAAUUUUAGACACGCUCGAGAAUCAGCUGUGUACUGUUUAUCUUGCUGUACCAUGUGGUCCAGAUUUCAGAUCCCAGAGCCCUUAGGCAAGCCUAGAACUGUCCCCACAAUCUCUGGGUGACAGCUGCCCCAACCAUAGCUGUCCAACCUACAGGAGCAACUAAAGGUGGGGAUUCUCAGCCAGGGAGGAGGUGCAGUAGGGUGGGGAACCUGCAGCAUGGAUAGAUACCACCUCCAUCCACUCUGUCAGGACAGCCUGACUGAGGCCCACGGAUCUAGAUUGGGCUCUUAGCAUCUAUCACCAGGCCUUUGUUGUUGUAAGGAGCACAAUAAUAAUAAUUAAAAAAAAUAUAUAUAUAUAUAUUAGUUUGGCCAGGCACGGUGGCUCACGCCUGUUAUCCCAGUGCUUCAGGAGGCCAAGGUGAGCAGAUCACUUGAGGCCAGGAGUUCGAGACCAGCCUGGCCAACACGGUGAAACCCCGUCUCUACCAAAAAUACAAAAAUUAACUGGGUAUAGAGAUGGAGGCCUGUAAUCCCAGCUAUUCAGGAGGCUGAGGCACAUAAAUCCCUUGAAACUGGGAGGUGGAGGUUGCAAUGAGCCAAGAUCGUGUCACUGCAUUCUAGCCUGGACGACAGUGGAACUCUGUCUCAAAAAAAAAAAAAAUUAGCCAGGUGUGAUGGCAUAGGACCAUAGUUCCAGCUACUUGGAAGGCUGAGGCAUAAGAAUCACUUGAACCCGGGAGGCAGAGGUUGCAGUGAGCCAAGAUCUUGCCACUGCACUCUAGCCUGGAUAACAGAUCAGGAUUCUAUCUCAAAAAAUAAAUGAAUAGGCCAGGCACAGUGGCUCAUGCCUGCAGUCUAAGCACUUUGGAAGGCUGAGGCGGGUGGAUCAUGACGUUGGGAGUUCAAGACCAGCAUGGCCAAGACGGUGAAACCCUGUCUCUACUAAAAAUACAAAAAUUAGCCAGCACGGUGACAGACACCUGUAAUCCCAGCUAUUCGGGAGGCUGAGGCAGGAGAAUUGCUUGAACCCGGGGGGAUGGAGGUUGCCGUGAGUCACGAUCACGUGCCACUGCACUCCAGACUGGGUGACAGACUCUGUCUCAAAAAUAAAUAAAUGAAUAAAGAUAAAAAUAAGUAAAAACCUCAUUUGAGCCAGGCAUAGUGGCUCAUGCCUGUAAUCCCAGUACUUUGGGAGGCUCAGACAGGAGGAUCACUUGAAGGCAGGAGUUCGAGACCAUCCUGAGCAACAUAGUGACAUUCUGUCUCAAUAAAUAAAAAGUAAAUAAAUGAAAUUCCUUUGAGGAUCACAAACAACAUGAGCUAUUUAUAAUUCUGGAAAUAGCCCAGAUACCAAGUGGCCCUAUCCCCUCAAAGGAUUUCAGGACAGCUCCCACCUUCUUAGAGGGAUGUGGAAGGAGAGCCAAGCCUGGGCACAUAGCUUCUGUGCCCUCAGCCAGUGUCAGCUCACGGAGGUCCAGCCUCCAUCCCAAGGGUCACAUAAACAUCCCUCCUCUUCCCUGAGAAGCAAGAACACAGAGAACAUCUACAUCAUAAGGAGGAGCUUUAGAGUUUUGUACCAGCUUCACUUCAUUUCUUCUGUUGUUCAUUCAUUCAUCUAACAGACAUUUAUUGAAAUCCUAGGGGGUGGGGACCCAGAACCGAACUCUUCUGGUCCUGGCCCUGAGGGGCCCCUGCCUGGACGGCUUGAACAUGGGAUGGCCAGGCCUACCUCCCACAGCCCCAGUUUCCCCUCUGGGAGGUGGGCAGUGCUCACUUGGAAAAGUGCCUGCAGAGCAGUUUCGUCCCUUUGUGAAUGAGCUUCCGCAAGCACAGGGAUGAGUCACAGCCUUGGUGACACAGAACACAUGACUUCAAAUUGCCCAGAAGUAUGACUGGUGCCCUGGCCUGUGCUUCCCCACCCCAAGGGGCCCACCCCAAGGGAUCAUCCAAAGAUGACCUUUCUUGUUUUCCAAAGGCCUGCUGUCUGCUGUGGCCUUUCAAGGGCCUGUAUAUCCAUGGUGAAUUCCUGGAAGGCAGCUUGAAAUAAACACUGAAUGGGUUUGAUUUCUCUUUUUUUUUAAAAUUAUCUAAGCAAACACCUUUCUCCAAAAAGAGCAAAUUCACCUGCGGCUCUCCUGUGGGAAGCUGGAAAAUGUUCUUCCUUGGGAGUAGAAGAUGGGGAGAGCGGGCCCAGCUCCAAUAGCUUGCUGGUGCCACGGAGGUUGCUGAGCCUGGAGGCUCCCGACUUGCUCCAGAGCUGGCGAAGGGUCUGUCUCAGUCACAGUUCUCCCCAGUGAUGACCCAGAACCGCUCUCAGUUCCUGACGUGUUCUGGGUCCAGUGUGACCCACAGUCUGCCUAGCCCAUUGCCUCGGCGGGUGCACCUCUCC